AGCGAACGCUGGCGGCAGGCCUAACACAUGCAAGUCGAACGAACUCUUCGGAGUUAGUGGCGGACGGGUGAGUAACACGUGGGAACGUGCCUUUAGGUUCGGAAUAACUCAGGGAAACUUGUGCUAAUACCGAAUGUGCCCUUCGGGGGAAAGAUUUAUCGCCUUUAGAGCGGCCCGCGUCUGAUUAGCUAGUUGGUGAGGUAAAGGCUCACCAAGGCGACGAUCAGUAGCUGGUCUGAGAGGAUGAUCAGCCACAUUGGGACUGAGACACGGCCCAAACUCCUACGGGAGGCAGCAGUGGGGAAUCAUGCGCAAUGGGCGAAAGCCUGACGCAGCCAUGCCGCGUGAAUGAUGAAGGUCUUAGGAUUGUAAAAUUCUUUCGCCGGGGACGAUAAUGACGGUACCCGGAGAAGAAGCCCCGGCUAACUUCGUG
rnacentral:rRNA from 1 species